AAAUUGAAGAGUUUGAUCAUGGCUCAGAUUGAACGCUGGCGGCAGGCCUAACACAUGCAAGUCGAACGGUAACAGGAAGCAGCUUGCUGCUUUGCUGACGAGUGGCGGACGGGUGAGUAAUGUCUGGGAAACUGCCUGAUGGAGGGGGAUAACUACUGGAAACGGUGGCUAAUACCGCAUAACGUCGCAAGACCAAAGAGGGGGACCUUCGGGCCUCUUGCCAUCAGAUGUGCCCAGAUGGGAUUAGCUUGUUGGUGAGGUAACGGCUCACCAAGGCGACGAUCCCUAGCUGGUCUGAGAGGAUGACCAGCCACACUGGAACUGAGACACGGUCCAGACUCCUACGGGAGGCAGCAGUGGGGAAUAUUGCACAAUGGGCGCAAGCCUGAUGCAGCCAUGCCGCGUGUAUGAAGAAGGCCUUCGGGUUGUAAAGUACUUUCAGCGGGGAGGAAGGUGUUGCGGUUAAUAACCGCAGCAAUUGACGUUACCCGCAGAAGAAGCACCGGCUAACUC
rnacentral:rRNA from 1 species